GACGAACGCUGGCGGCGUGCUUAACACAUGCAAGUCGAACGGAAAGGCCCUUCGGGGUACUCGAGUGGCGAACGGGUGAGUAACACGUGGGUGAUCUGCCCUGCACUUUGGGAUAAGCCUGGGAAACUGGGUCUAAUACCGAAUAUGAUCAUCGGCUUCAUGGUCGGUGGUGGAAAGCUUUUGCGGUGUGGGAUGGGCCCGCGGCCUAUCAGCUUGUUGGUGGGGUAAUGGCCUACCAAGGCGACGACGGGUAGCCGGCCUGAGAGGGUGACCGGCCACACUGGGACUGAGAUACGGCCCAGACUCCUACGGGAGGCAGCAGUGGGGAAUAUUGCACAAUGGGCGCAAGCCUGAUGCAGCGACGCCGCGUGAGGGAUGACGGCCUUCGGGUUGUAAACCUCUUUCAGCACAGACGAAGCGCAAGUGACGGUAUGUGCAGAAGAAGGACCGGCCAACUACGUGCCAGCCGCCGCUGUAAAAC
rnacentral:rRNA from 1 species